rnacentral:rRNA from 1 species
UACAGAGGGGGCAAGCGUUAUUCGGAAUUAUUGGGCGUAAAGGGCGCGUAGGCGGCCUGGCAAGUGGAAGGUGAAAUCCCUCGGCUUAACCGAGGAACUGCCCUCCAAACUGCUUGGCUUGAGUCCGGGAGAGGUGAGUGGAAUUCCCAGUGUAGCGGUGAAAUGCGUAGAUAUUGGGAGGAACACCAGUGGCGAAGGCGGCUCACUGGACCGGAACUGACGCUGAGGUGCGAAAGCGUGGGGAGCAACAGG